AAUCUGGCUUCAGGUCGGGGAUAACUACUGGAAACGGUGGAUAAUACCGGAUGUGCCGAAAGGUGAAAGAUUAAUUGCCUGAAGAUGAGCUCGCGUCUGAUUAGCUAGUUGGUGGGGUAAGAGCCUACCAAGGCGACGAUCAGUAGCUGGUCUGAGAGGAUGAUCAGCCACACUGGGACUGAGACACGGCCCAGACUCCUACGGGAGGCAGCAGUGGGGAAUUUUCCGCAAUGGGCGAAAGCCUGACGGAGCAAUACCGCGUGAGGGAGGAAGGCUCUUGGGUUGUAAACCUCUUUUCUCAAGGAAUAAAAAAAUGAAGGUACUUGAGGAAUAAGCAUCGGCUAACUCCGUGCCAGCAGCCGCGGUAAUACGGAGGAUGCAAGCGUUAUCCGGAAUGAUUGGGCGUAAAGCGUCCGCAGGUGGCGGUGUAAGUCUGCUGUUAAAGAGCAAAGCUUAACUUUGUAAAAGCAGUGGAAACUACACAGCUAGAGUAUGGUCGGGGCAGAGGGAAUUCCUGGUGUAGCGGUGAAAUGCGUAGAGAUCAGGAAGAACACCGGUGGCGAAGGCGCUCUGCUAGUCCAUAACUGACACUGAGGGACGAAAGCUAGGGGAGCGAAUGGG
rnacentral:rRNA from 1 species